UAUCAUUAACUGAAUCCAUAGGUUAAUGAGGCGAACCGGGGGAACUGAAACAUCUAAGUACCCCGAGGAAAAGAAAUCAACCGAGAUUCCCCCAGUAGCGGCGAGCGAACGGGGAGGAGCCCAGAGCCUGAAUCAGUGUGUGUGUUAGUGGAAGCGUCUGGAAAGGCGCGCGAUACAGGGUGACAGCCCCGUACACAAAAAUGCACAUACUGUGAGCUCGAUGAGUAGGGCGGGACACGUGGUAUCCUGUCUGAAUAUGGGGGGACCAUCCUCCAAGGCUAAAUACUCCUGACUGACCGAUAGUGAACCAGUACCGUGAGGGAAAGGCGAAAAGAACCCCGGCGAGGGGAGUGAAAAAGAACCUGAAACCGU
rnacentral:rRNA from 1 species